rnacentral:misc_RNA from 1 species
UGAGCGAUCUGCGUGACGCUCAUAUCCGUCUGGUUGAGUCAGCAACGACCACGACGCCUGGCAUCUUCUUUGUUCUAGCGUUCACUCGUUGCCUGUGUGUCGAAUGACAGACCUUACGAUUCUGUACGGGACGCAGACUGGCAACGCGGAGCGGCUAGCGCUGCGCAUCGCUCGACUGGCACUUUGCCGGGGGUUCGAGUGCGUCUCGUGCCUGCCCGCCGAUGACCUGCCUAUCGCCGAGUGGCCGCACACCGGAGGGCCUGUCGUUCUUAUCUGCUCCAACGCAAAUCAAGGAGAUGCCCCAAACACGUUUCGCCGGUCGUGGGCGUCGCUGCUACAACCCACCGCCGCUGGCAGCAUGGAGGGCCUGCAGUACGCUGUCUUCGGCUUGGGCGACUCUCUGUACCUGAAGUUCAACCACAUGGCCAAGAUGGUGCACAACCGUCUCCGGCAGCUGGGCGGCACACCGAUUGUGAUGCGCGGGCUGGGGGAUGAGAGCGACGCGACGGGCGUGGAGGAGGCAUUGCAGCCCUGGCUCGCGGAGCUGUGGAAAGCACUUGAGAAACCGGGCAAGUGCGGUGCCGCCGCACAUACGCCGGCCUACCCGCAGGAGGACCUUCCUUUCUUUCCUCUUUUCAGCAUUGCACCCGCCUCUGCGUGCGACGAGGCGACAGCUGGCGCGCUGUCUUCUUCCGCUAACGCCGCCAUCGCGCCACUGCCGUAUUUUGCCGACUCUGUGUUCUCCUGCGAGGUGGUGGCGAACAGGCGCCUCACGUCUGCUGCGUGCGAGCAGGUGGUCCAUCACCUGGAGCUUCGCGCUGGCCCUGACACCACGGACGCCGCGGCGUACGAUGUCGGCGAUGCGCUCGGCAUCUACUGCCCGAAUCGCGAAGAGCUAGUAGAGGGGCUGCUGCGCGGACUGCAGCGAGACGGGGCAGAGAUGGUGGUGGUGACCCCAGACGCCUCGCAUGGACUCGUCCGUCAGCCCGCCCGCCCCUUCUUUGGGCGGCCUCUCUCGCUACGUUCGUUGCUUCGUCACUACUUUGACCUUGACGCUGUGGUGUCGCAAGAGUUCUUGUGGAUGCUCGCGCAUGAGGUGACUGGGGAGGACGAGGGCGCGGUCGACGUGCGGGAACGCCUCUACGAGCUGGCGGAUCCGUCCAACGUGAACGAUUACCUUCAGUAUGCGCACCGUGAGAAGCGCAACCUAUGCGAGGUCCUGCACGAUUUCAAGGAUCUUCAUCCAUCUCUGGAGUUGGUCUUGUCGUUUGCGAUGCCGAUGCUGCCGCGCUACUUCUCCAUCGCCUCCGCGCCAGCAAUGGACGGCGCAGGUCGUUUUGACCUCUGCGUAGGGCUGCUGGACUGGCACACGCCACUCAAGCGCCACCGCACCGGGCUCUGCAGCUCCUACCUGGUGGGGGCGUCCCCCGGGACACGACUGAAGUGUUUUGUCUGGCAGGGCUCCCUUGCACUUCCUGCUACACCGACGCCGCUGCUGUGCAUCGCGACGGGGACGGGUGUUGCACCAAUUCGCAGUGUUCUGCGGCAGGUCGCCGGCCUUUCGACGCAGGGCUGGGAUGAUGUGCCGGUGGUGCUUGUAUUUGGAUGCCGACGUGAGGCGGAGGAUUACCUUUACCGCGAGGAGUGGGCGACGCUGAAGGAGAUGGGUGCAUUGCCCACCCUCCGAGUUAUCCCGGCCUUCUCGCGAGACACCGACAAGAAGGUUUACGUGCAGCACAAGCUCGGCCAGCACGCAAGGCUGACGUCGUCCUUUUUGCAGCCCGAGGGCGCCGGUGUCCCGCCGGGUGUGGUGUACGUGUGUGGAAACGCGAAGCAGAUGCCGAAGGACGUGCAGCACACCCUAGAGCAGAUUGUCGAGGCGACCGUGGCAGAGGUGCAGGACGAAGCCGGGGCGGCCGCGCACAUCAGGGCCCUUGGCCGCGUGGGUCGCUAUCAGAUCGACUCGUGGUCGGCGUAGGCGCGAACAUUUUUGUGUGUGCGUGUGUGUGUUACUCUCUUUCAACGGCACGCUGUGCUUCAGUUGAUCAUUCGCCACCAACACCACGGUGCCACCUCG